rnacentral:lncRNA from 10 species
GUGCAGGUCAGCCUGGAAAUUGGGUCAGGAGCCAACAUCAAAGGUUAAUAUCGCAGGGCCUGGAGGUGAGAGAUUCUCCAUGGAUUCUUCUUGUGAAUUGGAGGGGCCAAGUGUCUUUCAUCUUCUAGGCUCCACAUAGGAGGGGCCAGCUCCCCCAGGGAGGCCAUCAAGUCCAGGCCCAGAUGUCUCAUCCCUGCAGCUGACAGACUCUAAACAAGCUAUUGGGCCAGAGAGCCCUCAGAAUGGGGCCAAGUGAGCUGCGUUACUGAGGCAGUCAGCCCUAGGUGGUGAGAGAGGCCCAGGCCAUUCCCUCCAGCUGAAAGUAGCUUCUCUUUUCAGCCCAGUGUGCUCUUCAAGUUGUCAUUUCCUGGUACUUUAACAUGAAAAGGUAAGGAAUCUGAAGUUCAGAGAAUGUAAGUAACUGCUCCAAGGUCAUCCAUGUAGGGUUGAGGGUCUGAACCAAUUCCCUCUCUCCCUAAGUCUACACUCAACCAGUAUACCGUGGCACCAUUUAUUUUGACAAGAAGAAUUACCAACAGAUAAAAAGCAAAAAAGUGAUGUUUCCUCCAAAGGGAAGAUAGACUUCAGGAAUCUGCUUGCACCCCCCUGGCUCUGGGCACCUCACCUGUGCAAUUCCAGACCAGGCCAUCUGUCCUCAAGAGGCCGCUGGCCUCAGAGCCUUCUACCCCGUCAAGAAGAGCCUUUCUCUCCCCACUUAUGGGGGAUCAUCUGCUUAAACUAGGCCGGAGUCAUAAUCAUUCAUUCCAGAAGGGGCUGUGAUUCACAUCUGAGCUUCAGAAAAUGGUUUAGUUUGAUUUAAAGGGGAGAUGAAAGCAAAAUAAAUGCUCAGAUGCUGACAAAUUUCUCCAGAUCUUAAUUUACAUUCAUUUUCCUUUCAGAGCAUUUGAUUUGUUUUUAUUUUCAAACUGUG